GGGUUGUGAGGUUAAGCGACUAAGCGUACACGGUGGAUGCCCUGGCAGUCAGAGGCGAUGAAGGACGUGCUAAUCUGCGAUAAGCGUCGGUAAGGUGAUAUGAACCGUUAUAACCGGCGAUUUCCGAAUGGGGAAACCCAGUGUGAUUCGUCACACUAUCAUUAACUGAAUCCAUAGGUUAAUGAGGCGAACCGGGGGAACUGAAACAUCUAAGUACCCCGAGGAAAAGAAAUCAACCGAGAUUCCCCCAGUAGCGGCGAGCGAACGGGGAGGAGCCCAGAGCCUGAAUCAGUGUGUGUGUUAGUGGAAGCGUCUGGAAAGGCGCGCGAUACAGGGUGACAGCCCCGUACACAAAAAUGCACAUGCUGUGAGCUCGAUGAGUAGGGCGGGACACGUGGUAUCCUGUCUGAAUAUGGGGGGACCAUCCUCCAAGGCUAAAUACUCCUGACUGACCGAUAGUGAACCAGUACCGUGAGGGAAAGGCGAAAAGAACCCCGGCGAGGGGAGUGAAAAAGAACCUGAAACCGUGUACGUACAAGCAGUGGGAGCACAGAGCAAUCUGUGUGACUGCGUACCUUUUGUAUAAUGGGUCAGCGACUUAUAUUCUGUAGCAAGGUUAACCGAAUAGGGGAGCCGAAGGGAAACCGAGUCUUAACCGGGCGUUAAGUUGCAGGGUAUAGACCCGAAACCCGGUGAUCUAGCCAUGGGCAGGUUGAAGGUUGGGUAACACUAACUGGAGGACCGAACCGACUAAUGUUGAAAAAUUAGCGGAUGACUUGUGGCUGGGGGUGAAAGGCCAAUCAAACCGGGAGAUAGCUGGUUCUCCCCGAAAGCUAUUUAGGUAGCGCCUCGUGAAUUCAUCUCCGGGGGUAGAGCACUGUUUCGGCAAGGGGGUCAUCCCGACUUACCAACCCGAUGCAAACUGCGAAUACCGGAGAAUGUUAUCACGGGAGACACACGGCGGGUGCUAACGUCCGUCGUGAAGAGGGAAACAACCCAGACCGCCAGCUAAGGUCCCAAAGUCAUGGUUAAGUGGGAAACGAUGUGGGAAGGCCCAGACAGCCAGGAUGUUGGCUUAGAAGCAGCCAUCAUUUAAAGAAAGCGUAAUAGCUCACUGGUCGAGUCGGCCUGCGCGGAAGAUGUAACGGGGCUAAACCAUGCACCGAAGCUGCGGCAGCGACACUGUGUGUUGUUGGGUAGGGGAGCGUUCUGUAAGCCUGUGAAGGUGUACUGUGAGGUAUGCUGGAGGUAUCAGAAGUGCGAAUGCUGACAUAAGUAACGAUAAAGCGGGUGAAAAGCCCGCUCGCCGGAAGACCAAGGGUUCCUGUCCAACGUUAAUCGGGGCAGGGUGAGUCGACCCCUAAGGCGAGGCCGAAAGGCGUAGUCGAUGGGAAACAGGUUAAUAUUCCUGUACUUGGUGUUACUGCGAAGGGGGGACGGAGAAGGCUAUGUUGGCCGGGCGACGGUUGUCCCGGUUUAAGCGUGUAGGCUGGUUUUCCAGGCAAAUCCGGAAAAUCAAGGCUGAGGCGUGAUGACGAGGCACUACGGUGCUGAAGCAACAAAUGCCCUGCUUCCAGGAAAAGCCUCUAAGCAUCAGGUAACAUCAAAUCGUACCCCAAACCGACACAGGUGGUCAGGUAGAGAAUACCAAGGCGCUUGAGAGAACUCGGGUGAAGGAACUAGGCAAAAUGGUGCCGUAACUUCGGGAGAAGGCACGCUGAUAUGUAGGUGAAGUCCCUCGCGGAUGGAGCUGAAAUCAGUCGAAGAUACCAGCUGGCUGCAACUGUUUAUUAAAAACACAGCACUGUGCAAACACGAAAGUGGACGUAUACGGUGUGACGCCUGCCCGGUGCCGGAAGGUUAAUUGAUGGGGUCAGCGCAAGCGAAGCUCUUGAUCGAAGCCCCGGUAAACGGCGGCCGUAACUAUAACGGUCCUAAGGUAGCGAAAUUCCUUGUCGGGUAAGUUCCGACCUGCACGAAUGGCGUAAUGAUGGCCAGGCUGUCUCCACCCGAGACUCAGUGAAAUUGAACUCGCUGUGAAGAUGCAGUGUACCCGCGGCAAGACGGAAAGACCCCGUGAACCUUUACUAUAGCUUGACACUGAACAUUGAGCCUUGAUGUGUAGGAUAGGUGGGAGGCUUUGAAGUGUGGACGCCAGUCUGCAUGGAGCCGACCUUGAAAUACCACCCUUUAAUGUUUGAUGUUCUAACGUGGACCCGUGAUCCGGGUUGCGGACAGUGUCUGGUGGGUAGUUUGACUGGGGCGGUCUCCUCCUAAAGAGUAACGGAGGAGCACGAAGGUUGGCUAAUCCUGGUCGGACAUCAGGAGGUUAGUGCAAUGGCAUAAGCCAGCUUGACUGCGAGCGUGACGGCGCGAGCAGGUGCGAAAGCAGGUCAUAGUGAUCCGGUGGUUCUGAAUGGAAGGGCCAUCGCUCAACGGAUAAAAGGUACUCCGGGGAUAACAGGCUGAUACCGCCCAAGAGUUCAUAUCGACGGCGGUGUUUGGCACCUCGAUGUCGGCUCAUCACAUCCUGGGGCUGAAGUAGGUCCCAAGGGUAUGGCUGUUCGCCAUUUAAAGUGGUACGCGAGCUGGGUUUAGAACGUCGUGAGACAGUUCGGUCCCUAUCUGCCGUGGGCGCUGGAGAACUGAGGGGGGCUGCUCCUAGUACGAGAGGACCGGAGUGGACGCAUCACUGGUGUUCGGGUUGUCAUGCCAAUGGCACUGCCCGGUAGCUAAAUGCGGAAGAGAUAAGUGCUGAAAGCAUCUAAGCACGAAACUUGCCCCGAGAUGAGUUCUCCCUGACCCUUUAAGGGUCCUGAAGGAACGUUGAAGACGACGACGUUGAUAGGCCGGGUGUGUAAGCGCAGCGAUGCGUUGAGCUAACCGGUACUAAUGAACCGUGAGGCUUAACCUUACAACGCCGAAGGUGUUU
rnacentral:rRNA from 4 species